rnacentral:rRNA from 1 species
UACGAAGGGGGCUAGCGUUGCUCGGAAUCACUGGGCGUAAAGGCGCGUAGGCGGCCAUUCAAGUCGGGGGUGAAAGCCUGUGGCUCAACCACAGAAUUGCCUUCGAUACUGUUUGGCUUGAGUAUGGUAGAGGUUGGUGGAACUGCGAGUGUAGAGGUGAAAUUCGUGAGAUAUUCGCAAGAACACCGGUGGCGAAGGCGCCAACUGGACCAUUACUGACGCUGAGGCGCGAAGCGUGGGAGCAACAGG